GACCCCGCAGCGUCGUGGCUAGAGUAGGGUCUGGAGAGAGCUCCCACUGUGGCGAGUCCUGUCGUUGGAUUCCCGCGGCGCCCCGUAAGGCUCCGCCCCGGCGGUGCUACCAAACCCUGUUCGAUUUUAGAAUCGUACAUUCCCAGAGGGAAUCCUAGACCCCUCAUUUUACAGUUGAGGAAACAGGCCCAAGUAGCAUGACUUGUUCGCGCCGCUAGUCGAAGGAGCAGCAGCCCCGAUCCCUUGACUCUGGGGCACUGCUUUCCCUUUAGCUCAUUUUUGGAGGAAAUGGGUGCGCCCUUGCUCGACCUUUGGUGAUUGCCGCCACAGGCCUUCCCGCCGGCUAACUCAGCGUGCCCAAGUCCCGUGACUUAGUGCCAGGACGGUGCUGUGACCCGUUAUCCCCUGUCGGGUUUUACCUCCCCCCGGGAGAGCUCAGCCCUGGAUCCCGGCGGGCGGCGGAGCCUCUCUGGAGCCCGGACGGGACAGCCCACCAGGGUCUGCUUCUGUGAGGGGCCGAGGCGUCAUUCCGCGAAGCCUUCUCCUUGCUGUUGCCAUGUGAAGAAGGAUGUGUUUGCUUCCCCUUCUGCCAUGAUUGUAAGUUUUCUGAAGCCUCUCCAGCCAUGCCAAACUAUUUUGAGUAAAGCAGAUUACUCUCCAUAAUGUGGGUGGGCCUCAUCCAAUCAGUUGAAGGCCUUAAGAGAAAAAGAUGAACUUGUGGAAGAGGGAUUUCUGCCAGCAGACUGUCUUCAGACUUGAACUGCAAUACCAGCUCUUCAUUGGCUCUUCAGCCCACCAGCCCACCCUGCAGAUUUUGAACUUGUCAAGACUCCACAAUCAUGCUCUUCAUUCGAUGUACAAAAACCACAAGAUUAUCUAAAUAGAUGCAGAAAAGGCCUUCGAUAAAAAUCCUCAUUCCUUCAUGUUAAAAACUCUCAAUAAACUAGGUAUUGAAGGAACAUACCUCAAAAUAAUAAGAGCCAUUUAUGACAAACUCACAGCCAGUGUCCUUACUGAAUGGGCAAAAGCUGAAAGCAUUCCCCUUGAAAACCAGCACAAGACAAGUUUGCCCUCUCUCCCAACCCCUAUUCAAUAUAGUAUUGGAAGUUAUGGCCACGGCAAUCGGGCAAGAGAAAAAAAUGAAGAGUAUUUAAAUGGGAAAAGAGGAAGUCAAACUAUCUUUUUUUGCAGGUGACAUAAUCCUAUAUCUAGAAAACCCAUUGUCUCAACCCAAAAGCUUCUUAAGCUGAUAAGCAACUUCAGCAAAGUCUCAGGAUAAAAAAUCAAAGUGCAAAAAUUGCUAUACACCAACAACAGGCAAGCCAAGAGCCAAAUCAUGAAUGAGCUUUGAUUCACAAUUGCUACAAAAAGAACAAAAUACCUAGGAAUACAGCUAACAAGGGAAGUGAAGGACCUCUUCAAGGAGAACUACAAAGCACUGCUCAAAGAAAUCAGAGAUGAUGCAAACAAAUGGAAAAACGUUCCAUGCUCAUGGAUAGGAAGAAUCAAUAUUAUGUAAAUGGUCAUACUGCCCAAAGCAACUUAUAAAUUCAAUGUUAUUCCCAUUAAAUUACCACUGACAUUCUUCACAUAAUUAGAAAAAACUAUUUUGAAAUUUAUAUGGAACCAAAAAAGAGCCUGAAUACUGAAAGCAAUCCUUAGCAAAAAGAACAAAGGUGGAGGCAUCAGGCUAGCUGACUUCAAACUAUACGAUAGGGCUACAGUAACCAAAAUAGCACGGUACUGGUACAAAAACAGAGACAUAGACCAAUGGAAAAGAAUAGAGAAUACAGAAAUAAGACUGCACACCUACAACUGUCUCAUCUUUGACAAACCUGACAAAAACAAGCAAUGGAGAAAGGAUUCCCUAUUUAAUAAAUGGUGCUGGGAGAACUAGCUAGCCAUAUGCAGGAUAUUGAAACUGGCACCUUCCUUACGCCUUACACAAAAAUCAACUCAAGAUGGAUUAAAGACUUACAUGUAAAACCCCAAACUAUAAAAACACUAGAAGAAAACCUGGGCAAUACCAUUUAGGAUAUAGGCAUUGGCAAAGAUUUCAUGAUGAAAACACUAAAAGCAAUUGCAACAAAAGCAAAAAUUAGCAAAUGGGUCUAAUUAAACUAAAGAGCUUCUGCACAGCAAAAGGAACUAUUAACAGAGUAAACAGACAACCUACAGAACGGGCGAAAAUUGUUGCAAUCUAUGUAUCUGACAAAGCCCUAAUAUCCAGAAUCUAUAAGGAACUUAAACAAAUUUACAAAAAAAAGCAACCCCAUUAAAAAGUGGGCAAAGGACAUGAACAGACACUUCUCAAAAGAAGACAUACAUGUGGCUAACAAACAUGAAAAAAGCCUUCACAUCACUAAUUAUUAGAUAAAUGCAAAUCAAAACCAAAUGAGAUACCAUCUUACAUCAUUCAGGAUGGUGAUUAUUAAAAAGUCAAAAAAUGACAGAUGCUGAUGAGGAUGUGAAGAAAAAGGAACACUUUAAUACUGUUGGUGGGAGUGUAAAUUAGUUCAACCAUUGUGGAAAACAGUCUGGUGAUUCUUCAAAGACAAAGAGGCAGAAAUACCAUUCUACCCAGCAAUCUCAUUACUGGUUAUAUACUCAAAGGAAUAUAAAUCAUUUUCUUAUAAAGACACAUGCACAUAUAUGUUUAUUGCAGCACUAUUCACAAUAGCAGACAUAGAAUCAACCUAAAUGCCUAUCAGUGAUAGAUUGGAUAAAGAAAAUGUACAUAUACAACAUGGAAUACUAUGCAGGCAUAAAAAGGAAUCAGGUCAUGUGCUUCGCAGGGACAUGGAUGGAGCUGGAGGCCAUCAUCCUUAGCAAACUUACACAGGAACAGAAAACCAAAUACUGCAUGUUCUCACUUACAAGUGGGAGCAAAAUGAUGAGAAUACAUGGACACAUGGCGGGGAACAACACACACUAGGGUGUGUUGGAGAGUAGGGAGAGGAUCAGGAAGAAUAACUAUUGGAUAAUGGGCUUAAUACCUGGGUGAUAGGAUGAUCUGUGUAGCAAACCACCAUGGCACACAUUUACCUAUGUAACAAACCUGCAUAUCCUGCACAUGUAUCCCUGAACUUAAAAUAAAAGUUGGAAAUAAAAAAAAAAGAGUGAUUAUGUCAGGGACUAGGUGGUAGCUGUGGAGAUGAUGAAAAGUGGUCAGAGUCUAGAUGCAUUUUGAGGGUGGGCUUGAUUGGCUGGUGGAUUAGAUGUGAAGGAUGAGAGAAGAAAAAGGUACUAGGAUGACUCUAGAGUUUUUGCCUUGAACAAGAAAAAAGGAUGAAUGCCAUUUACCAAGAUUAUAGAAAAUAGCCAGUCUGUUUAUUCUUACACUAUCAAUUGACACAACUUCCAGUUAAUAAGUUCACUUUAUUUUCUGAAAGUUACAGGAGAAGACUUUACUGGUUAUGACCUUAUACUGCUUUAAUGGUCAUCUGUAGCCAAAAUCAUGGACAUAAAUUCUGAGGAGGGUUCCUGGUAAGCCUCCC
rnacentral:lncRNA from 10 species